rnacentral:lncRNA from 1 species
GUUUUAUUAAUGUUAUAAAAUGAUGUUGAUAUCAAACAAUAUAAUGUGCAUUUCUUUAUAAAUAUAUAAUGGAUAAAAUCUACAACUCAUAAAUUGCAUAGAAAAUAUUUGGAAAAAUGUGUAAUGUAUUAGAGUAUCUAUCAAAUGGAAGCCUGCUAACAUUUGCUAAUUGUCAACCCUAUACAUGCACAAAUAUAUAAAUAUCAUUAGGUGGGAUCUAUAAACAAUUACUGUGGCUUGAUUUGUAGCCUUCAAAUUUUGAUUUUCUGAUUUCUGAUAUUCAGGUUGACUGCAUAUCAUGUUGGCUCAAAAAGAUAAUAAUAAAUAAGAAAUACAUUUUAGUGUGUUUUAUGUGACACUUAGCUUUCUAAAUGUUAAUAAUAGGUUAACCCAUGCAUAUAAAAAAUAUCAGAGUUUAAAAUAAAAUAGUUUGAUGAUUGAAUUAUUAAGUACAAAAAACUCCUUGUUUGUGGGAUAAACAUGUUGAUUGUUCUCAUAAAACUGUGUUCAUUUCAAUCAUGGUUUAUGACACCAUAAAAGCAAAGUGUUAAUUAUUUAUUUACAAUUAUAGUCUUUAGACAAUUAAGUCAAUGGAAUGUGCUAAGUAAUACAAAUUAUAUCACAAGAGUGGCCUUAUAUGAAUAACAUUGUCUUUUGCAUUUUAUUUCUUAUUUUAAAAGAAUUUCAAAAUUACAAUAUUUAUUUAAAAUAGGAUUAAAAAAAGAGACUGUCUGAUGUAUUCUCCUUGUAUUUUAAAGAUACUAAUGAGUUAUAGCUUUCUAUUUUCACAACUGCAUACUAAAUGUUAUUUACAACACAUUUCAAUUCGUAUUUUUAACUAUAUAUUGUAUUUCUUUAACAGAUAAUGAAUCAAAACCUUGGACCAAAAAAAUCAAAUAUGCUCUCUCUUAGCACAACCUUUAAAUAACAUUCACAACCAAUUUCCUUGUGAAUGUUACAUUGCAUUAUUAUACUGCUUUAAUCAUUUAAUAUAAAUACCCAAAAAAAGCUAAAGAAAAAGGAUAUGAAUCUAUCAACAAAGCAAGUCAAGCUGUCCCAAUUUUGUAAUCAUUGAUAUUUUUACCCAAAUUUAACAUGAGCAGGUAUUUCACAUUUUACUGAAUUUAAUUUUAUGACCUAGAUUGAAUUUAAUUUGAAAUUACAUUAUUAUUUACAAUAUAGUUAAAAUGAAAUAAAGACCCACUAAAAGAAGAUAGUUUUGUGUGUUAUGUUAACAAGUUAUUUUGUCAACUCAAUGCACAAAAUCAGAAUAGUUUUUUUCAUUAUAUUUUAUAUUACAAAUUAUUUCAUGAAAUCUUUUCAAUAUCAAAUUUCAGACUUAUAAUUUAUUACAAUUUUUGUUAAAUCUCUGUUAAAUUUUAUAUUCCUAGUGAAUUAUAUCUUACAAAUAUUAUCUUCAACAAAAUCUUUUGAAAUCAAAUGUACCUUCAAAUAUUUAUUGUAGUCUAAAAAUAAUAAUUGAUAAAUAGCUAUGUUGGGCACAGUAGAAUGAAAAUAUCAUGUCAUAAAGGGGAAAGUUGCAAACAUGUUUAAAGAUAAAUAUUUGAUCAUCUAAAACAAAAUUGUCAAAUGAAAACAUUGUCUCUACAGACAGCUGGUAAUGCCAAUAUCUUAUCAUUACACAACUGCAAAAAUGAUCAAGUUAUUUUGAAAAUAAAUUAAAGCACUAACAUGGAGUUAAAUUGUAAUUCGUAAUGAACUAUUGUUUGGCAGUAAAACAAGCCUUUAUGAGUGGAAUUAUCCUCGAUACUUAGUGCUUUUGUGCAAAUGAUGCAUGCAAAAUGUUCUAUAUCUAAAGAAUUAAUAUUAAAACCUUUUUAAUUGAAUGUUUAACAAUAAAAAAAUAAUUACAGCGGUGAGCACUGAUUUGAAAAAUAGUAUAAUUUCAACAACUGAAACCUACUUGGCCAUUUUGUCAUCUUAAAUUAUUCAGAUUAUUUGAAAAAGCUACUUGUGAAAAAAACUGUCUACAGAAGUUAAUUGCUUUGUGGUUAAAUACCUGGACUCAGGAAUCCAUGCUUUGAUUCAAUCUUUAAAUUGUUGGAAGGUAUGGAGAGCCUCAAAUACACAAUAUGAAUAUAAAAAUUAUCAAAAAUAAAUUGUAUUUAAAAUACAUCGUUGUGAUUGAAUUACAUCUUUUAUAUACUGUGCCUUCGUUGCUUUUAUUGAGUCUUACUUUUUUUUUCUAAAAGAAAUUUCACAUCAACUAUAUAACUUUGUUAUUUACACAUCAUAAUAAAACUAUCAGUAUAUUAAUAAAAAAACAUAUAUUUCUCUAGUAAAUUUAAUUAAAAUUGGAUUAACAUACUUUCUGUCUAACAAAUCAUAACAAAUCACACUCUAAUGCCCAGCAGAUAACUCAAUCAAAAUUCUUGUAAAUCAUUUUUUACAUCUACUUAUGUUAUUCUUAUGAAAAUAUACUAUUUACAAUCAACUGAAAAAUAUGUUAAUUCAUGAAAAAAAUACAAUUAACAAAUUACAUAAGUUUCUGUCAUAAGAUUUUGAAUGAUAUUAAAGCAAGUCAUAUAAAUAGUGCCAGCAUGAUUGUACAUGUGCAGUACAUAAAUUUCUUUAAAGUUUAAAUGUUUGGUAUCAUGUUAAUUGUUAAGGAAAUAUUUUAUCUAGUGAUGGCCAAAGUACACUGAUUCUUUUGUUUUUGUGUUGUUUGAAAAAAGACGCAUCCUAGACAACUGAAUAAGAAUUAAAGUUUCAUCAUAAUCUAUAAUAAAAAUUCAAAUGAUUAUCAAUUAAAGGUUAAAAGUUAUAUAUGUUACAAAUGUAUUUAUUCAAAAAGGUAGAAAAUCAUUGAAUUAACUCAAAACAAGUCUUUUCAAAUGCACAUAUCCUCUGUUCCUCUACAGAACUAUUGUUUUAAUAAAUUUAUACAUUCCAACAGACCCAGGUAGAGACUUCUAAUUGAGUCCUCUGGUAUUUAAAUCAGGCAGCCAAUAUUUGGUAAUUGAAUUUAUUUUCCUGCAAGUAACAUAUUAUUUAUGAAGUAAGCAUUAUAACAAGCAUAUCUACAAUGAGGGAUAUGUUUCCCACUACUUAAAUGCCAGCAUUUUUAUUUCUUGUUUACCUAAACCAUCUAAAAUAGGUGUCUGUACCUAAAAUAUGUUUCUUUGAUGUUACAGUGUUUGGGCCAGAUAAGUUUUAUUUAUAUGAGAUUACUUAAGCGUUAGGUUCCCAAAUUUAAACCAUCAUUGAUUCCAAAUUUUGACCUUACAUGUAUCUUGUUCUAUUAUAACUCAUUUGUAAUAUAUUUGUAAUAAAUAUCUGAAUACAUAAAAGUAAUAGUAAUGCUUGUACAUAUAAACUCAAUAUAAAUUAGGAGUAACUGUAUGUUUAAAUGCCCCCUACAAUUUUCCUUUAAUAAAUUAAAUGGAUUGUUAGUUAAAAAUACCUGUUAUAUUUAAAACUACAUCUUGCCCACAGUGCAAGUCAAAUCAAACCAUAUGCCAGUAUGUGUAAAAAUAACAAAGAGAUAAAAAAAAAUGCCCCCUCUUUUCUUUCCAUCAACAAUAUCUCUUCUUUGUUAUCCUUGAAUACACAUCUUACAGGCUACAGUAUCAUAUUACUUCACAAUAACAAAACAUAGUUGACAGUUUUUUCUCUCACUCCAAUUUUUUUAAAUUUGUACUUCAGAAAAAAAUCAAUUACAAAAUACUGUUAUAUUCAAUAAAGGUUAAACUCAUUCAUGCAUACAGCUAAUUAAUGGAUAUCAAAAUUUUAAAAGUCAUUGCAGCAAUUACAUUGUUUAAUUUUUACAUAACUUAUUCAUUAUCUUUCAAUAAUAAAAAUUGAGAAUGGAAACUGUUAAUGUGUCAAAGAGACAACAAUCCAAACAAAGAGCAGAAAAAAUAAAACCACAUUUUAAUUGUAAAACAAUUACUACCUGGAUAUUUAUAAAUUAAUUAACAGAAAUAAUAAAGUUUACAAACAAAAAACUUCAUAAACAUAAUAAGAUUAAAGCUAUAAAAUUGUAACAUGUACACACUGAUGCCCCCAAAUCUAUCUCCUACAUGUAACAUAUAUGUCAAUUUGCAAACAAGCAAUCUUAAACCCUGUUCACAAAUAUAAUAAAUCUGAUGUACAAUAUUUAUCAAAUUCUCAUCUAAAUGGUACCCUGUUUGUGUCCACAUGCUUUGGUUCAUCCAAAUUUACAGGUCGCAGUGACCUUAAUUCAAGAUUUAUGUCCGAUUUAAUUGAAUUUUUGUAACAGAUAAUCUCUUGAAAGUAGUAAUAAUUGAUCUGAUGAGUACACAUGUACAUCUUAUAAACAUUAAAUCUGGAAUAUGAGUGAACACAAACUGUAUUCAAUGUCUUACCAAACUUAAAUCAUUUUUGUUGCAUUGUGAACAGGGUAUAUUUGUCAGAAAAAGAUGCAUAUUAACGUAAAUACAAACAAUGAAACAGACAAUUUUCUGCAUAUUUUUUCAAACUGUUUUCAAUUACCAAUUUAUUCAGUUAAAGGGUAAAAUUCAAUUUGUGCAAGACUGAACUCAAAUGACUUUUAUGUUGUUAUUAGACCCUUUUUCACUUAAAAGAUUGCAAUUAUACCAUAUUCAAACUGUUCCUAUAGUAACUUAAAGAGUUUUACUUAAGCUUACUUUUAGGGAAAAUGCAUUAGUGUGAGUUCUGUAUCCAAUAUUUCCUUAUAAAAUAUAUACCAGUUCAAUACGUUUGUAUCUGAAAAUUCAACCCAAUAUGGAAAAUAGGUUGCAAAUAAUAUCUUAUUAUUAUUAUUGUAUAGUUACUCAUCUUAGCAAAUAAAGGACAUGUUUGUUGUUUGAAUAGAACCAACUGUAUUUUCCGUAAUGUCAUAGAAUACUCCUCAAGAACAUUUCCAAUUAUGCAUUAAACAGUCACUUAUCUUUACACAUGAAUAAUUGUUCCUUUCUUAUCUAAAAUAUUAUAGGAACACCAUUGAUGUUCUAUGAUUAAAUACGAUUUGGAUAAGGUGUAUCAAAUCUUCAUAAUUGUGCCAGCAGGUCUGAAAGACCUUCUGAAUUGUGAAAACAGAUAAAAAUAUAUGAAGAAAGAUAAAUUAAUAAAUGAACAAAUUAUUUACAUAUUUGGAAUGUCAACAAAACUUGAAAACAUAAGAAUAAUAGAAUUUUUGGUGAAAGAAGAUAUACAUGAACAAUUCAUUAACAAUGAGAGAAUAAACAAACAGUAAAGUCCAUAAACUAUAAUAACCAAACUGUUACAUGUCCAUCUUCUUAUACAAUAUAUAAAACAUGGAUUUCUAUUUAAAAAAUAUAAUAUAAACAAACAGAAGACAUCAACAACAAUGCAACACUGGUGCCUUAUUAUUGACAGUAAAACACACUAACAAUUGGUUUAAAAUGAUAAAAGUUCAAGCAUUUAUUUAAGUUUGGCUUUUGUAUAAAAAAUAAAAUGGAAGCCCAAUAAGCUUGUCAUAUUAUGCCAAUACUAAAUAAAACUAUAUUAAUAUAAGCUUCAAUAUACUUCUGCUUCAACACAAACAAUUGAAAUACUU